CGUACACUCCUAGGGAGGCAGCAGUGGGGAAUUUUGGACAAUGGGCGAAAGCCUGAUCCAGCAAUGCCGCGUGAGUGAAGAAGGCCUUCGGGUUGUAAAGCUCUUUUGUCAGGGAAGAAACGGUGAAAGCUAAUAUCUUUUGCUAAUGACGGUACCUGAAGAAUAAGCACCGGCUAACUACGUGCCAGCAGCCGCGGUAAUACGUAGGGUGCAAGCGUUAAUCGGAAUUACUGGGCGUAAAGCGUGCGCAGGCGGUUUUGUAAGUCUGAUGUGAAAUCCCCGGGCUCAACCUGGGAAUUGCAUUGGAGACUGCAAGGCUAGAAUCUGGCAGAGGGGGGUAGAAUUCCACGUGUAGCAGUGAAAUGCGUAGAUAUGUGGAGGAACACCGAUGGCGAAGGCAGCCCCCUGGGUCAAGAUUGACGCUCAUGCACGAAAGCGUGGGGAGCAAACAGGAUUAGAAACCCGAGUAGUCCCAUGAU
rnacentral:rRNA from 1 species